rnacentral:rRNA from 1 species
GUGCCAGCAGCCGCGGUAAUACGUAGGGGGCAAGCGUUGUCCGGAAUUACUGGGCGUAAAGCGCGUGUAGGCGGGAAGGCAAGUCGGACGUGAAAGGCUUCGGCUCAACCGGAGACGGCCGUUCGAAACUGCCUUUCUUGAGGGUCAAAGAGGAGAGUGGAAUUCCUGGUGUAGCGGUGAAAUGCGUAGAGAUCAGGAGGAACACCCGUGGCGAAGGCGGCUCUCUGGUUGACAUCUGACGCUGAGACGCGAAAGCGUGGGGAGCGAACGGGAUUAGAUACCCUGGUAGUCC